UACAGAGGGUGCAAGCGUUGUUCGGAAUUAUUGGGCGUAAAGCGCGCGCAGGCGGUUUCUUAAGUCUGAUGUGAAAGCCCACGGCUCAACCGUGGAGGGUCAUUGGAAACUGGGAAACUUGAGUGCAGAAGAGGAAAGUGGAAUUCCACGUGUAGCGGUGAAAUGCGUAGAGAUGUGGAGGAACACCAGUGGCGAAGGCGACUUUCUGGUCUGUAACUGACGCUGAGGCGCGAAAGCGUGGGGAGCAAACAGG
rnacentral:rRNA from 1 species